GGGCAUCUGGUGCCAUUUCUACAUCUCCUUACUGAGUGAGAGAACAUCAGCAGCAACUGCAGCCUUUAAUUUAUUACCAGACUGUAUCUUCAAAAGUAUUUGUGGUGUUAAAUCUAUGGGACCUUUACAUCAUUGCUUUCACUGACUUUUACUGGUUCAACACUGAGGUGCAGAAAAGAGGAAACGGUUCCAGUGACAUUUUUCACUUCUGCUUUGCAAGUGAAAGCAGUCAUGGCAGACAAGAUGGAGACCCUUGAUCCUUCAGCUUUACCCGAUGUUACCCCAGCCGUCUCCUACCAAUGUCAGCCUGAAACGGUCACCUUCUCCAGCGGAGUCGUCUCGGUGGCGGGCAUCACUGUGGUGACUGGGGGCGUUGAACUCUCUUGCAGAUCCUGCAUCCUGGCCUUUGGUUUUUGGGGGACUCUCAUCGGAUUAAGCUGCUUGGCCGUGGGGCUCUGGGACCAGCUGGCUCAGUUUAGAGAUGGGAUCUCCACCUUACUAGGUCUUGCGCUGGUGAUACUUAUCCUCAGUAUUUUGCUGGUGGCCAGCGUGCUGGUGUUUCACCUCCUGACAAAGAAGAAGAGAAAAAACAGAAGAGAGAUGAGAAGGGAAGGAAAACAAGUUUUGGUAGAGGGAGGUGAAGUGAUUAAAAAGGUCACAGUAUAAAUAAGCUCCAAUGGCGGACAUUAAGGUGAAUUUAUGAAUGUCCUCUAGACAUUAUUUGGAAACAUGCAAACAUGAUAUCUCAUGUUCUGUAACUCUAGACUUUUUCUAAACAUUUUAUCCACAACGCAGCAACACUCCAGACUUCCUUCCUUUAAAUUCAACAUAACCUUUUUCGUAACAUAGCCAGUGGUGCCCUGGACUUUUACACUUCUGUCAUUUAAAGAUGGUCUGGAUGCCAAACUAAAUAAAUAAAAAAAAAAAAAACUUUUAUUGUGUUUUUACAAAUUUUAUGUAGGUUUCACAAAUCUGAAGCUGUGUUUCAAACACUCUGUCUUUUGUAGCUCAAUCAAAUUCAGAUUUGACAAAUUAAAGUAUUUUAGAUUAUAAGAGAGGAUUAAAUGCAGUCCAGAGUCACUUUAGUUUGGCAUCAAACCAGAAGCUGUGAAUGAGAUAUCUGCUUCAACAUCUUCAACAAAACACAUGCAGGUACCCAAUCCCCAUUGAAUGAACAUGAAGAUAAGCAAUGCAAAAGUUGUUCAGGAUGCAACUGACAGCUUAUUUUUCCAAGCUGCUUGUGCCAUCCCCAGUAGAGCUGCACCCUGGGCGGUGAGCCAUAGCGCCCAGAUUAAUUACCUCCACUGAACGUGCAUUACACGUUGGCCUUUACACAAUUAUCUAGCUAGUCCUGUGUGAAUUGUUUCGUUUUUUCCAAGUGUAGUUGUAUUUUUGUAUCUGCUUCCAUUUAAAGCUAUAGAUUUAGCUUUACUCCACUUUAUUUGUAUUUGCUUUAUUGUAAAUGUAACCAGAAAAUCUUAACUUUUCAUAAUGCAUAAAGUGGUUCAUCAAUGGCAUCCAAUAAACCAACAAAAUUUAAGUCAUGUCCAAUUUAACAAUAAAAGGGUAUGUUAAUCCAGGAUGCAACACUCUCCGUGUUUCUGCUCUACUAAAAAGUUAAAAACAUGUUUUUAUACCCCUUAUGAGCUACACUGUCUUUAGAGACUUUAUAACAUGUACUGCUGACAGAUCAAUGCAAAUAUGGAGUAGGCAAUAAAUUAACUGUCUGAAAUGCAAGUUUGUAUUUACAUUUGCUUUAAGAUUUUUCAGUCUGUCUCAAUACAAUAUUUUUUUUCUUUAUAAACCUCACCCUAAUUAGUUUAAAACUAUUUGGGUAGUUUCUGAGUUCCAUACCUUAAAACAUCAAUUAAACAAAGUGUACAAAAGAUAUUCUCUAGUCAGAACCUUGAGAUACAAUGCAAAAUGUUGUGUCGGUGUAGUAACAAAGGACUAAUAAUAAACAUAAAGUAAUACAAUAAAUGUGUAUGAAUUUACCAAGUACAGGUUUUGCAGUAAACAAGUGAUAUAAUACAGAAUAGUGUCAGCAUGAAGGCAUAUGUGGGACCUUUAACUCGCAUUCUUUUGACAGCUAACCAAGAGUCAGUAACUGUAGGUUUUUUAAAACUCUAAAUAAACACAGACAAAAAAAUGAUAAAAUUGUGUAGAGAUGUUUAAAUGUUGUUGUCUCUGUCCAAUCAAUAUAUGAAUUGUUUGUAUAUUUUUACUGUGAACAUCUAUUAAAACUUAAUUAAAUCAUC